UGUAAGAAUCUACACAGAGCUAUUGCAUUUUGUGAGAUGCUAUAUGACUGUGCCUCCAUAUUUAUGUUAAACUCAGAAUAUUAUUCUGUGUUAUUUCCCUCAUUGGUGUGUGUGUGUGUGUGUGUGUGUGUGUGUGUUUUGCUAGAAUCAAACUGGGGCACAGUAGUACAU
rnacentral:sRNA from 1 species